UACGGAGGGUGCAAGCGUUAUCCGGAUUUACUGGGUUUAAAGGGUGCGUAGGUGGGUAGGUAAGUCAGUGGUGAAAUCUUCGAGCUUAACUCGGAAACUGCCAUUGAUACUAUUUAUCUUGAAUACUCUGGAGGUAAGCGGAAUAUGUCAUGUAGCGGUGAAAUGCUUAGAUAUGACAUAGAACACCAAUUGCGAAGGCAGCUGGCUACACAAAUAUUGACACUGAGGCACGAAAGCGUGGGGAUCAAACAGG
rnacentral:rRNA from 1 species